GAGUUUGAUCCUGGCUCAGAGCGAACGCUGGCGGCAGGCCUAACACAUGCAAGUCGAACGGACCCUUCGGGGUUAGUGGCGGACGGGUGAGUAACACGUGGGAACGUGCCUUUAGGUUCGGAAUAGCUCCUGGAAACGGGUGGUAAUGCCGAAUGUGCCCUUCGGGGGAAAGAUUUAUCGCCUUUAGAGCGGCCCGCGUCUGAUUAGCUAGUUGGUGAGGUAACGGCUCCCCAAGGCGACGAUCAGUAGCUGGUCUGAGAGGAUGACCAGCCACACUGGGACUGAGACCACGGCCCAGACUCCGUACGGGAGCAGCAGGUGGGAAUCGUUGCGCAAGU
rnacentral:rRNA from 1 species